ensembl:lncRNA
UGAUGAGCCAGCCGUGUGGCGUGGCAGCAGUGUGCUUCCCUGUCGACUGUUCGCUGCAAGUGCUGAGGCCCACUUGAGCAGCAGAAAAACACAAUGGGACCCGGGGAGAAGCUCUGAUCUGAGUGGAGAUCCUUUUGUGUGCUGUACUCACUGAGGCAGGCAAUUCUACACCUGGACGGGGUCCUCUGAGACCACGCAGCCCAGCCUUGGUUCCCAGAGUUUUGCCUGAAAAUCAGGACUCCUGCCCUCAUGCCAGGAUUCCAGGCCCAGGAAAUAACUAAACUGAAAGAAAGAGUGACAACUGCCAGAGCAGCGUUCCUUACACAGCAGGCUUUGGGUCCACAUUAGCACCUUUGUUGAACACAGGCGUGGAUCCAGGAAUUAGCACGUGGGGCCAUCCAUCAAGUAUACUUCCUGCAGUGGGGGAUCUGAGUGGUGCAUCUCCUUGACUGCCACAUACAUGAACUCACUUAAUCUCACAACAGAUGAAAACCAGAGCGGUUAUACAACUUACCCAAAGUCGCACAGCUAAUGAGUGACACAGCUGGAUUUUAACCCAAGUCGUCUGAUGUCAGAGCUCAUAACAGGUGGAUAAAGUAGGCAGAUCAUGGAGCAGGAGGAGACAUCAGAAGCACAUCUGCUCUACCCCUCUGCCUUCAGGAAACACGUUUUGCUUCCCUUCUCAUUGGCGGCGUAACCAUGAGCAAGUCACAAUUUUGAGCCUCAGGAUUUUCAUAUGAUUAAAGUGGAUAAAAUAUCAAUCCAGAAUCAUUUUGUUCAGUGGAUAGAAGAAACAGCAGUAACAACCUCUCCGAUUAUAGUGAGUGGCUGGCUCCAUGAACCACUGUUUGUGCAUUUAAAUCACAAAAAUCUCAAUUUAGCUCUAUUUGGACUGGUUCUCCAUUGGGAGGGAUAGAACUCUGUUAGGCCAAUGGAGUGGUGACUUUCCCACCACCCCAUCAAUCAUCAAGGUGGAACUGACAAAGGACAGCGACUCAGCUUCCAUCGCAGCAGGAACUAGGUAUGUCAUCUGCCCAAGCACCUGAUCUCCACUUGCCAGGACUGAGAAAAUCCAAGAGCCCUAGGAAGGCAGAUGUCGAAAGAACAUGCUGCCAGGUAGCGAUGGCAAUAAUUUUUACAUCAAUUGACUAUUUCUGCUUCCGUCCGCUUCCCCCAUCCCUGUCACACUUUCCAGUACUAUUUAGAACAGUCAUUUCAGCUUUAGUCUGUUUGAUCACUUGCCCCCUUUGUCAGACCUGGUGAGCCAUUUGGCGGGGAUGGCAGUGGCCAUCUGUGCUGUUAGAAUGAGACUCUUUCUCAUCACUUACCUGUCUCUCCUGUUCUAGAGAUUCUUGGCUUAGGGGAGCCAGGUGCCUCACUUUUCUGGGCUUGUUGCCACCAACUGAGUGGAUUUCAAAUCUUGAGCUGCCUUUCAGGAUAUCCAUAUAGCAUCUCAGGAUGCCUGAGAGACCCACGCUGUUAUACAUCAGAAGGCGGACGGACUUCUCUCUGGGAGGAGGUGGAGAUAGGUGAAAACUCUCUGACCUCGACACCCGAACAGCCUAGUACCUGCAAGCAGCUUUCUUCCAGCGGACGCCUCCCAGAACAUCACCACACACCAAGGGCAGGAGGGAGCAUGCACCAGAGGAGCGACAAUGGAAACAGCUGGCUCUCUGCUGAUAUGGCUGGGGUGAAACUGAAGCGGGACCUUCACGCAGUGCCUGAAGAAGCUAGAGAAGCUAGUCAGUCACCCUGCUCUUCCUUGCCUCUCAAGAGGAGCUCUUAUGAGCUGGGAAAUUCCUUCUUGGCACUGAACGAUGCUGGCUUGGGGGCAUGGGUGGGAUGAUAGAGGCAAAAUGAAGUUGUCUUCCUUCUCUUCUGAGAUUAUUCUUAGCUUUUUUUGUUCCAUGAUAUUGCUAAAACUUCCCAAG